rnacentral:lncRNA from 1 species
GUGUUCUCAUUGUUCAAUUCACUGUUCUCAUUCUUAUGGGGAAAUCUCAAUACAUCCAAAAUUGUAUUCAUCUUGCCUGCUAUGACCCAACUGGCCCAAUCUGUCGGCUGCACCAGUAAUCUUCCAAAUUUCUGGGCUCUAGUAAACAUGGAGGUUACUGACUCUUUUCUCUCCAUCAUUCUACAGAUCAAGGGCUCUAAACCUGGGAUCCAUGACUUCUGAAAGCCUGUGAAUGGGUUUCUGCUACUACAUGUUAAUUUUUACAUGGGUAUACGUAUAUGCACUUGGCUAUGGUUUUCAUAAGAAUCUCAGGAGUCCCUGAUGCAAACAAGGAUCAAUUUGAAUCCAAGUCCUGUCCUUUCUUUUGAGGCACCAAUUCUCGGUCUCCCUUUCUUCAUUCUUCCAGACACCUAUCUUAUCUAUUCUCAUAGCUGCUGACUGUCUGAUUAUGGCAGGAGACUUUGUUGUUGUUUUGAGACAGAGUUUUACUCUGUCUUGGGGGGGAAAAAAAAAAGAAAAGAAAAAAACUCACUGAGCCUGCCA